rnacentral:lncRNA from 1 species
CUAUAUUGACAUCUUGAUAUCAACUUCAAGGGAUAAAAAGACCAUAGAAGUAAACAAGUGAACAUUGUUUAAAAAGAAAAAGACAACUAGAGGGGCACAUAUAGAUUCAGAAAUUUAUAUCCUUCUAUCAAGCCCAUGUUUAUUUGCAAAUUCAUAUGUAGAUUCUUAUUCAAUACUAGCAAACUUAUUAUCUAAACAAAGCAGGGACAAAGAAAAGAUAGAUCCAAUUUUGUUCCACCUUCCUCUUUCGCAUUCGGAGAUUUUUCUGACCCAGAAAAGGAGAUAGGAAGCAGGUACAAAAGUUACAGAUGUAGCGACAGAUCAAGGUUUGUCUCGCCUUCUUCCACAUCAUAAGGCAUUCCAGAACCAGAAUUGGAGUUGUCCUCCUCUUUAACAAGAAGAAGCUCUCUCUUCUGAGGACUAUCAGUUUCCAUCUCAUCUGAGUUGAUCUUGAUUGACCAGCUUCACCUUGGCCUGAAGAUUGACUGAGAUUGCAAUUAAAGAAAUCAAGAAUAUUACGCUCCUUGAAGGCAGGCGACUGAUUUGAGCUGAGAUCUGGAUCAAAAGUUACAGCAUCCACAAGAGAAGGAAGCUUGCCACAGUAGUUAUUCUGAAAGCAUGGCAAGGCAUUUUCAGAAAGGGAUGGCAUACUAUCCAUAAAAUUUUGAACUUGAUCAGUAUUGAACUGACAAACUCCAUUUGAGAGCAAAUGAGAUUGAUGGCUCCCAGCACCUUCAGAAAAGUUCUCAGGAUGGGAGAUGGUGAGAGGUUGAGUAUUGCUAGUAACGCUUUCUGAGUUGCUGAAAUGGCCAGGAAAGUUCCAGCUCUUCAUUUCCUUGAUCUCUUCCUGAUGGACCCAAAGAUGCCCCUCUACAGCCUGGGGAUUGUUGAACACGCUUUGGCAAUAGAAGCACUGUUUAUGUGACCAGUUGCACCACAUCUUCCACACUUCCGCAUAGACUGGUCUUCUCCAUGAGAAUGAAUUCUCUCCUUGCCUUUUUUGGAUCACCUAGAAGAUUCCCAGAAAUCUUCUAAUGCACAUUCUUAAGCCCUCCAGCAUCUCCCAUAACUUACAUCCACACCAGAUCGUUCGGCAAGUCCACAAUAAUAUCUUUUGGUUUAUAUUGGCAUGAAACACCCUUGUAAUUUGACGUUAUAUAUUGACCAAUAAGAGUAUUGCUUGUGGUCAUGACGAGAAGCAUCUGAUGAACAAGAGUGCAGACUAUCAUAACAUCUUAGGAUAAUAUACUCAAACUCUGGGUGACUUGGUUGCACGGAGUUGCCAUGUACAAUUGUAGUGCACUGAACUUCAAAUCAAGAAAAUUUUGAUUUUAGAAUUGAAUCAACUCAUCUACGAUAUAAAACUUUUCUCGAGUCCCAGAAUCAGAUGCAAUUGACUUUUU